rnacentral:tRNA from 1 species
GGUUGUGGCUCAGUGGUAGAGUGCUUGCUUAGCAUGCAUGAGGCACUGGGUUCCAUCCUCAGAACCA